GCUGGUUCUAAUGAAGACAAUUUACAAUGUAGACUGUGACUUUGUAAAGAAACACAUUCAAUCUUCUAAAAGUAAAAACAUUUCCAUAAAUCAGGGUAAUAAGAGACACAGAUAAGGUAACGUACCAGUGGGAUCCAGAGUCACAACCUCUGACAGGUUGCUGUAGGGGCCCUGACCGGCUUUGUUGACACAAGCCACUCUGAACCUGAAGGAGCCCCCUGCUGGCAGAAUCUGUCGAAGUCUGCAGACAGAAGAAUAACCGAAAAGUUUAAACCAGCUGGAAGUGAGACAAUCUGAGCUGGAUGAGGACCAAAGUUUAUCUUCCACCACGCACAGCGAGGAGGACGGUAACGGAGGCGAAAACAUCUCACCGUUGGAGAACUGCAGCAAAGUCUCCAUAACAACCAUUUAUUUAAAGGCUUUUGUGCACAUCUUUACCGGGAGAGCCGACGACUGUGGAGGAUGCUGUGCGUGACAAAGAUUUGUGAAUCUUUGUCUUCAGGAUCUGCUCUCAGUCGCUUGUUCAUGAUUCUCUGGUGUCAUUUUGAAAGUUUAGAUCCAUAAAUGGUUAUAAAUCAGUGUAUAAAUCACUAAAAAUCAUGAUGCUACCACCACUCAAUUUAAACCACAAUCAAGGUUUGUAUGUUUUCCAAAUAAAUAAAUAAUUACAUUAUAAAGU